rnacentral:lncRNA from 1 species
GUAAUUAUCCAGUUGAUAUUUAUCUUGUUCCAGUCACCUUUAGAAAGCUGUUUGGCAAGGGCAGUGACUGGAAGCUGGGAGAGAGGGUCAACAGCUGAAUCUCAGCCUGAUGGAGGCCACCAUUUAAUAAGUAAAUACAUGCACGGCUAUUUAGAUCCUGCAUCAGACAGGUCAUCAGAAAACAUGAAGCUAAAUGCAGUAAAGAAUUACUCUCUUGAACUCUUGAAAAUAUCAAAAACAUGAAGCUAAAUGCAGUAAAGAAUUAGUCUCUUGAACUCUUGAAAAUAUCAUUUUCUUAUAGAAAUGGUUUAAAAAUUUCUUUUUUAUUAUUUCUAAUUUUCCUUCAGAAAAUUGUGAGUUUUAACCUACAACACAUACACUCCAAGGUAAUGCCACUCUAAUGCUGUCUAGUUGAUCUGAAUAACUAACUGGUCAAUUAUCAGAUCCACCAAACUGUCUCUCUGGAGAUUAACUUCUGCCAGCAUAUUGGUUUCUGUUCAUUUUCACAAGAUUGACAGGCUCAUUACAGCAAUAUUAACAUCUUCCUUUGAGCACUCACACUGUGCAAUUGUAAUUUUGCAUAUGUUGAUGAGCAGGCAAUUACAUCAAAGAGUGAACACUGGGCUGAUGUGCAAGGCACUAUUUAAUUAUAAAAACAGUAUAGGAUUGAGCCCUGUCACUGAGUCUUCCAUUCCUUCUAUCUCGCCUGUUUCUAAUUUAUUUCUCUAUUUCUUCAUUUCUUCCUUGACUGUCUUCAUUCUUUGCUUUUUAUUUCUUUCUCCUUAAAUGACAGACCUUUUCUUAGAUGCCAUUUCUCUAUGUCUGCGCUUAAGACAAGAAUUUUUUUCCUCCUAGUUGUUGGUUAAUGUCUGCAAAUGUGAGAGCAUGUUAACAUGACAAACAACAAGGAAUUUGAAAUAAACUUAAAUGAAACA